rnacentral:rRNA from 1 species
AUUGAACGCUGGCGGCAUGCUUUACACAUGCAAGUCGAACGGUAACAGGCCUUCGGGUGCUGACGAGUGGCGAACGGGUGAGUAAUGCAUCGGAACAUGCCCAAUCGUGGGGGAUAACGUAGCGAAAGUUACGCUAAUACCGCAUAAGUCCUGAGGGAGAAAGCAGGGGAUCGCAAGACCUUGCGCGAAUGGAGUGGCCGAUGUCAGAUUAGCUAGUUGGUGGGGUAAAGGCUCACCAAGGCGACGAUCUGUAGCGGGUCUGAGAGGAUGAUCCGCCACACUGGGACUGAGACACGGCCCAGACUCCUACGGGAGGCAGCAGUGGGGAAUUUUGGACAAUGGGCGCAAGCCUGAUCCAGCCAUGCCGCGUGCGGGACGAAGGCCUUCGGGUUGUAAACCGCUUUCAGCCGGAAGAAAUCGCCAUUCCUAAUACGAGUGUGAUGACGGUACCGGAGAGAGCACCGGCUACUACGUG